rnacentral:rRNA from 1 species
GAUGAACGCUGGCGGCGUGCCUAAUACAUGCAAGUCGAGCGAACAGACGCGGCGCUUGCUCCUCUGAUGUUAGCGGCGGACGGGUGAGUAACACGUGGAUCACCUCCCUAUAAGACUGGGAUAACUUCGGGAAACCGGAGCUAAUCCCGGAUAACAUGUUGAACCGCAUGGUUCAACAGUGAAAGACGGUCUUGCUGUCACUUAUAGAUGGAUCCGCGCCGCAUUAGCUAGUUGGUAAGGUAACGGCUUACCAAGGCAACGAUGCGUAGCCGACCUGAGAGGGUGAUCGGCCACACUGGAACUGAGACACGGUCAAGACUCCUAAGGGAGGCAGCAGUAGGGAAUCGUCCGCAAUGGGCGAAAGCCUGACGGAGCAACGCCGCGUGAGUGAAGAAGGUCUUCGGAUCGUAAAACUCUGUUAUUAGGGAAGAACAAAUGUGUAAGUAACUAUGCACGGCUUGACGGUACCUAAUCAGAAAGCAACGGCUAACUACGUG